UACGUAGGGGGCAGGCGUUGUCCGGAAUCAUUGGGCGUAAAGAGCGUGUAGGCGGCCUGGUAAGUCCGCUGUGAAAGUCCAGGGCUCAACCCUGGAAUGCCGGUGGAAACUGUCAGGCUCGAGUCCGGAAGAGGCGAGUGGAAUUCCUGGUGUAGCGGUGGAAAUGCGCAGGAUAUCAGGAGGAACACCUGUGGCGAAAGCGGGCGCACUGGACCGACAACUGACGCUGAGGCGCGAAAGCUAGGGGAGCAAACAGG
rnacentral:rRNA from 1 species